rnacentral:rRNA from 1 species
GGGCACUCUAAUGAGACUGCCGGUGAUAAACCGGAGGAAGGUGGGAUGACGUCAAGUCAUCAUGCCCCUUAUGACCUGGGCUACACACGUGCUACAAUGGACAGUACAACGAGAAGCGAUACUGUGAGGUGGAGCUAAUCCCAAAAGCCGGUCUCAGUUCGGAUUGAGGUCUGCAACUCGACCUCAUGAAGUCGGAGUCGCUAGUAAUCGCAGAUCAGCAACGCUGCGGUGAAUACGUUCCCGGGCCUUGUACACACCGCGGUCGACGCGGCCG